rnacentral:rRNA from 1 species
GUGGGGAAUCUUGCGCAAUGGGCGAAAGCCUGACGCAGCCAUGCCGCGUGAAUGAUGAAGGUCUUAGGAUUGUAAAAUUCUUUCACCGGGGACGAUAAUGACGGUACCCGGAGAAGAAGCCCCGGCUAACUUCGUGCCAGCAGCCGCGGUAAUACGAAGGGGGCUAGCGUUGCUCGGAAUUACUGGGCGUAAAGGGCGCGUAGGCGGACAGUUUAGUCAGAGGUGAAAGCCCAGGGCUCAACCUUGGAAUUGCCUUUGAUACUGGCUGUCUUGAGUACGGGAGAGGUGAGUGGAACUCCGAGUGUAGAGGUGAAAUUCGUAGAUAUUCGGAAGAACACCAGUGGCGAAGGCGGCUCACUGGUCUGGUACUGACGCUGAGGUGCGAAAGCGUGGGGAGCAAACAGGAUUAGAAACCCCGGUAGUCC